rnacentral:sRNA from 1 species
GCUGGGCGCAGUGGCACAUGCCUGUCAUCCCAGUAGCUUGGGAAGCUGAGACAGGAGAAUCGCCAGUUCAAAGCCAGCUUCAGCAAUGGUGAGGUGCCAAGCAAUUUGGAGAGACCCUGUCUCUA